GACGAACGCUGGCGGCGUGCUUAACACAUGCAAGUCGAGCGGUAAGGCCUUUCGGGGUACACGAGCGGCGAACGGGUGAGUAACACGUGGGUGAUCUGCCCUGCACUCUGGGAUAAGCCUGGGAAACUGGGUCUAAUACUGGAUAUGACCUCAGCAUGCAUGUGCUGGGGUGGAAAGCUUUUGUGGUGCAGGAUGGGCCCGCGGCCUAUCAGCUUGUUGGUGGGGUAAUGGCCUACCAAGGCGACGACGGGGAGCCGACCUGAGAGGGUGACCGGCCACACUGGGACUGAGACACGGUCCAGACUCCUACGGGAGGCAGCAGUGGGGAAUAUUGCACAAUGGGCGGAAGCCUGAUGCAGCGACGCCGCGUGAGGGAUGAAGGCCUUCGGGUUGUAAACCUCUUUCAGCAGGGACGAAGCGUGAGUGACGGUACCUGCAGAAGAAGCACCGGCUAACUACGUGCCAGCAGCCGCCGCAG
rnacentral:rRNA from 1 species